rnacentral:tRNA from 1 species
UAGCUCAGUCGGUAGAGCAUGAGACUUAAUCUCAGGGUUGUGAGUUCGUGCCUCAC